UGAUUGUGUGGCUGAUGAAGGAUGGAGUCUUUGGCUGUCGCUCGGCUUCGCAUGAUCCAUCCCUCUGUAGGAACACCCGUAAUUGUCUAGGUAGCUGCUCUCUGGCCCGCUGCUAAUUUUGCUCUCACCACAAACCAUCACAUGGCCUCUUGUUUCUGUCUUCCACGCAACAGUUCUUUUUGAAAUCCUGAUCUCAUUGUGUUUUAACUUGUUCUUUUCUCAUAAUUUUCUUCUCCUUCAUAAAGGCCAUGUCCUCUUCUAGUCUGCUAAAGCUGUAAAACUUUCCCCCUAGAAUUCUUUUUUGAUUCCUGAAACAUUCUUAGAGGUACACUUUCCUACUCGGCUUCUGGAUGCUACUUUGUUGUUUCCUUUUCUCUUCAGGGUCCUGGAAGCUUGCAUGGCAGAGAAGAAAAUCUGUUCUGACCUCAUAGUUGCCAUCAGGUACAGCAAGGUUCCUAGACAUAUAAGGUCACCAUGCCUCCAAACAAGAAAUCGAGAAGAUGCUUACUGUGUUGGACAUGAGCGAAUAUCUGACGCAGCCAGACAUGGUGAUGCAGUUUUAAUGCCAGCACUUGGGAGGCAGAAGCAAGCAGUGAGUUCGAAGUCAGCUUGGUCUUGUAAGUACUUGUCUCAGAAGCAAACAAACCUGAUAUAAGCUACUUAAGUGUGGACCUGGGUACCAGAGGCUUUCCACGGAGAUCUCUGGUCCCGCCAGGUGCGAGUGUUCCCGUGAAGGGAAGCCUGUGCAGGCAGGGAGGGGAAGUCGCUUCCACCGCUGCUUCUGCGGUUGGCUCCAUCUCCGUCUCUGCCCUGCCUCUAGGUUACUCCGUUACAGCAGUGCGCUGCCCUGUACUGAGUCCGGUAGGGCUAGGUCAACCAGAGGCUGACUAGCCAGUGAGGAGUGCGGCAGAGCGUCAGGCGGCGUUUCGGAAGAGCAGACCUCUUCCCAAGUGUAUGGCUCUUUGGACAGAAGGCUGG
rnacentral:lncRNA from 1 species